GGGGCUGUAGCUCAGCAGGAUAGAGCGGUCGCCUCCUAAGCGACAGGCCGCGCGUUCGACUCGCGCCAGUCCCG
rnacentral:tRNA from 1 species